UACCAUAUGCAUCCGGGAAAUCUCUUUUGAUUGAUUGCCUGCAUCUUUAAAACUGGUAAGACUGAGCUGGUCACUCUCCCUGCUGCUCUGUUUGGCCAUUUAUCUGCUGUGUUCAGAGGGUGAAGAUCACAAUUCACCCCCAGCAUGGGCACAUGAACUGAACCCUUGAGAAGUGAAGGCCUUUCUUUGCUCUACUCCCCAAGCAAUGGGCUUGGGUUGGUUUUGUUUCUGUUCUGUGUCAUUUGUCCUCAGUUUCUAGGUGUCAGUAGUGAUUCCUAUGCGACCCAGGAGUUCAAGCCACGAAUCCUAGAGCCAGGAUUGCAAGUGGGAUGGAGAAACCAGGGUCCCUAGAACUCAAUUCAGAGAUGAGGAUGCUUGAGAGAAGAUGUAGCUUGCUCAGGGUCUCACAGCCAAUACGUGUCAGAGCUGUGACUCUCUUUUGUGCCACUCCAAUGUGGUGUAAGAAAGAAUGCACGUAUUGUUUUCUGUGUUCUGAAACACUUCAGCUAUGGAAACCAGAAGCUAACAAUUUACAAGGCUGGGAACAUCUGCUCUCUAUCUAGAAUGGAGAAGUGCACUUGUAUGAAGAAUAGGAACACUUCAUCAUCUAUGUAUAGCUAGAUAAUGUUCUCAAAAGAAUUGUCUGAAGAAGGAACUAGUGUAAGGAGAAGUUGAUGUUCAGCUGUUUAUAUGUCCACACAGAUGGGCACAGAGAAUCUCACAGAUUUACCAAAUUAACACAAACCUGUCCCAAACUGCUGUUAAGAAAACAAUUUUGUUACAGAGUGAGACUGCUAAUUGAUGAAUUCUCCUCUUCAAUUAAAGUCUGACCACAAAGUGCAUUGGGAAUUGACCAGUCUUUCUAGAAGUUAUAGAAGCUGUAUCUCCUCCUUUUUUCCUCCCCAGAUCUAAUUAGAUUUUUCCUUCUUUCCUUUAGCCUCA